CCUCCUCCACUCUGUUCGGCUCCACUCAGCCCCUUUCGGCUCCACUUAACGGCUGAGGCGACCCCGACCCACGUGCACUUGUCCGCUGGAUUCAGCACGUGUUAAAAGGCGGGUCACCAGUUACCGCAGCGGGGCAGGAUACAGUAGUUUGCUCCAGCUGCCUAAGCCCUCUUCUACCCACUUCGACCCACAUCGGCUCCGUUCGGCACAGCUCGGCUCCACCCGGCCUCUUCGGUCACGCAGGAAACCUCUGGGGGAGCUCUGUUCCAAACCACCGUGGAGGUGUUGGUCACCGUGGACACCUCGUGAGCUGAGGGACGUGCCUGAGUUCUGGAGUAUCUCAGACGGCAUCGCUGCCACGCCCUGUACUCGCAACGACCUCAGACCCCUCUUCUUAUCAGCCAUCUCUGCAAAACGCAGCGGUUUCUCCUCUGGCUCUCCCGGGCCUCGUAGCAGGAGUACUGUGUGGACACAGAAGAGACGGGAGCAAGACAGCCAUAUGGCAAAAUGCUGCAAAAUCGGAGAAAUCAACUGCAAAUCCUAGUGCCCAACACCAUCAGAAGCAGAAAACAUGUCAGAAUUCAGUAUAUUGCCUACAAAAGGGAGAGAACUCUGGUAUUCUUUUGAAAUGAUGAUGUAACACUGAGAUGGAGAUGCCCACUUCCUUUUAUUAAUUACCUGGCAUAUUGGACACAAUUAAUCAACUUGGCAUGGAAAGAUAAUUCAUCCUGCAGAUAAUUAAUUACUACUCACCAUGCAGAGGUGAAAAUUUUGUCCUGAUGGGGCUACCUGUGUGCCAACUUCUGUGUAGUAUCCCAUGUCUUCCAACUGGUGGCAUCCUGACAGUGUUGGGGGAACCUGGAUCGCAGGAUGGAGCAGAUCUAGGAGAAAAAAGACAGAAGCAGCUCAAAUGCAGCACCCUCUCUGCCUGCUCUGAUUGGUGCUUCCAGGGAUGUCUGUAAGCCCAGCUUCUUUAAUCCAA